rnacentral:rRNA from 1 species
UUCCAGACUCCUACGGGAGGCAGCAGUGGGGAAUAUUGGGCAAUGGGCGCAAGCCUGACCCAGCAACGCCGCGUGAAGGAAGAAGGCUUUCGGGUUGUAAACUUCUUUUGACAGGGAAGAGCAGAAGACGGUACCUGUCGAAUAAGCCACGGCUAACUACGUGCCAGCAGCCGCGGUAAUACGUAGGUGGCAAGCGUUGUCCGGAUUUACUGGGUGUAAAGGGAGCGCAGGCGGCACGGCAAGCCUGAUGUGAAAGCCCGCGGCCCAACCGCGGGACUGCAUUGGGAACUACCGGGCUGGAGUGCCGGAGAGGUAGGCGGAAUUCCUAGUGUAGCGGUGAAAUGCGUAGAUAUCAGGAGGAACACCGGUGGCGAAGGCGGCCUGCUGGACUGCGACUGACGUUGAGGCCCGAAAGCGUGGGGAGCAACCAGGAUUAGAUACCCUGGUACA